AUACCUUUCUCGGCCUUUUGGCUAAGAUCAAGUGUAGUAUCUGUUCUUAUCAGUUUAAUAUCUGAUAUGUAGGUCAUCGGCUUCCUCGAUAUUAAUCUUAUUUUUUUAUGGUGGAAGGCCUGCACCAAUAGCUUGCUAUUGUGGUCUUUGAGAGUCGUCUUGGUGUUGCACUAUUGCUUAGGCCCGGCUCACCCCUC